UUUUGUUUAUGUAUUUACAUGGAGUGGUUCAUCUUGCAUUUUUGUGAUUUUUUUUUUUGGUAGCAAUACCUUUUAUGCUAUUUCAGUGUUGAUAUAACUUUAAUGAAAAAAUGUGACUGUAAAAAGCAACUUAUUGUGAGUUACACAGCAUUAAGUGGGAAAACAAAAGCUACCUACAGUCCUAGAUUGGUACAGAAUAUCUUGAUAAAAAUUUAUUUUUCUCAUACAUAGGACACUAUGUUAAAAACAUUCUAAACUUAAAACUACUGUUAUGUCUGCUAGUGACUUGUCGUUAGGUGCUUUGGUUGGUUUUUCUCCAGUGGAGUGUUUUUUAUAAUGUUUUUUUUUCUUUAUAUUUUAGCCAAGAGUCGAAGCUAAACCAGAAGUUCAAUCUCAGCCACCUCGUGUGCGUGAACAACGACCUAGAGAACGACCUGGUUUUCCUCCUAGAGGACCAAGACCAGGCAGAGGAGAUAUGGAACAGAAUGACUCUGACAACCGUAGAAUAAUUCGCUAUCCAGAUAGUCAUCAACUUUUUGUUGGUAACUUGCCACAUGAUAUUGAUGAAAAUGAGCUAAAGGAAUUCUUCAUGAGU
rnacentral:lncRNA from 1 species